rnacentral:lncRNA from 1 species
CAUUUGAUAAAGGGAAAUGCUUAAAUGCAUUUGAUAAAGGGAAAUCAAGUUACCCCAUUACUUUGGAUUUUGAAAAUCAAAAUCCUAGUAAGAUCUGGGACUUAAAAGCCUCCAGAGAAGGUGAACAGUGUCCUCUACCGGAAACACCUACUGAUUUUGAAUAUCGAAAUCAAUGCUUAAAUGCAUUUGAUAAAGGAAAAUCAAGUUACCCCAUUACUUUGGAUUUUGAAAAGCAAAAUCCUAGUAAGAUCUUGGACAUAUCAGCCUCCAUAGAUGGUGAACAGUGUCCUUUACUGGAAACACCUUCGGAUUUUGAAUAUCAAAAUCAAUAUGGGAAGAUUGAUGUGUCGGUCCAUGAAGAUCAUCAGAGUCCCCAGGUGGGUUCUUACGCUGGAGAAACUAUAUUUCAAGGAGUGCAAAGUCAAUAUAAGACAAAUAUGCC